CAGGGAUUGAAACCUCGGCGUCAGGUGGUCACAGACGCCUCACUGUUGCGUCGGCUUUGCCGGCCGCUGCCACCUGCAGCGCCCGGGCAGCUGGUGGAUGCGGCCAGGAGCGGCAUCGCCGGAACACGUUAAAGUGGUCGGGCAGAAGACCGAAAGGCCAGUUCGCCCCGAGGGAGAGUUGGACGGAAAUUCGCGUCUGAGCUGCCCCGCGGGGGGAGAAAAAGGCGCAGGAGAGCGGCGGGUUCACGGCGGGUUCACGGCGGGAACUGGGAUGCCGCCCGACGCCGGGGGGAGGUACAGCCCUUCAACAAAAUUUCAUCCAGCUCCCAACUUGUGCCUUAAAGAUUGUGGAAAAGCUUUGGGGUAUCAAGAGUAGGUGUCUGAAGAAAGGCAGAAACACAGUGCAUCGGAUCUUUGCGGUUAGAGUAAGAGUCCUUGCUGCAGUCACACAAUGAACCGUACAGCUUGUUUGCAACCAUCUGGGACAAAAUGUGCCUUUAGUGUAUCUGAGCAGUUCAAAUUUCAGGAUCCCUGGGAUUUGAUAAUAAUGACGAAGACAUUGAAAGAAGCACAGAAGGCAAGGAUGGGAGAGUCAAAAUUCCUAAAUGAGAUAAAGUCUUUUAAUCAUUGCUCCCUCAAGCAUGUGGAAAGUGUGGAAAAAACAAGAAUUUCUUUGCAAACAAUUGAAAUCGAAAAAGCCAUAAACACCCGGAGACUGGCGAACAUUCUUGAAAUGCGGAAUAAACAAUGGAUUGAAUUCCCACUAGUAGCCAAUGAGGGAGCAGUCUCAAGACAUCCAAAACCCAAAAACAAUCACAAGGAGUAACCGUGUUGGGUGUAAUUGGUAAACACAGCUUGAGUGAGCUCACCCUCUGAAUUCUUGCAUUUCUCUGUUUAACUCAACAAAGUCAAGAGUCUUCAAACUAUAAAGUUCUGAACUAAACCAAUUGCUGUUCUAACUUUGUUUCAUAUGCUUACCAUUUAAUUAAAAUUGAAAUACAAUUUUCAGGAUGUCUCCAUGACCUUCUGACAAUAAACUUAUUUUCUUUCUCAAAUGGAAGUGCACUUAUAGUGUCACACCCAUGUCAUUUAUUUAGUUGCCAGAUUUUCUGUGCCUGUACCAAGCCUCUAGUUUAGCAUAUCUGAGCUUAAUAGUAAGAGGUUUCUUAAAAAUUUAUUCAUUUACGUGAAGUAACUUUGCUAUUGAGGGCAGUAUUUAUCGCCAUCCCUGAUUGUCUUUGAGAAGGUUACAGUCUUGGGGGUGAAGGUACUCCCAUAGUGUGGUUGGGUAGUGGGUUUUGGAAUUUAAAUCCAGUGAUGAUAAAAAAUUACAAUAUAUUUCCAUGCCAGGAUGGUGCGUGGCUUGGAGAGCUUUUUUUAGAGGUGG